UGUAUUAUGAAAGUGUAGUUACUUGAGAAGAUACUUUAUACCACAAAGAAAUGAUUGGAUAAUACAACUUUUAAAACGUGGGACCAUUACUGCUAAAGCAUUUACUCUUUCAAUAGUCCAAUGGUUUCUCGUUCAUUGAGAGGAUUGAGAGAUCUUUCUCCACCCUAACCUUACUUUUAGUUCAACCGUUUAGCCUGGGGCCAAAGGAAGUUCAUCCAGCAGCCCUGGGCUUUGGUAGCUUUGCAAAGGGCCAGGGCUGCAGUGUGACCCACUUCCCACUUUGCAAUUAUAUUGGAACAGAGUAAAUGAAACAAGAUCUUUGUUUGUUGUGUGGGUAUACCUCAGAAUGAUUGGCUGGGAUUAUGUAAAUGCAUCUUGUUAAGGUUUAGAUUAAAUUUUACUGCAAUGUGGAAGUGCAAAUUCAGCCAGACGGGGAUGGAGAAAACGUGGUUGAAGCCAGAGGGGAGCCCGAAUGAAGCCCGACGCUGCCUUUGUUUGAAGACGAUAACAUUGGGAACAUGAGGAAUCAAAGCAUUAGAAUAAUAAAAUAUGAAUAACAUCAAGCUGCAAUAAAAAGUCCACAACAACCGA